rnacentral:tRNA from 1 species
GCCCAUUUAGCUCAGGCGGUAGAGCGCAUCCUUGGUAAGGAUGAGGUCGGCAGUUCGACUCUGCCAAUGGGCACCA